GUUAAGUAGCCCUCCAAGUGCAGACCCAGAAGGUAAACUCUGGGUCAAGAUGGAAGGACUGAAGCUAAACUCAUGUAUAACUUUGCCGUGCUGUAAUUCCACACUUGAAUCCUUGGCUCCUGUGAAGGCAAAUGUACACACACAGGAAAUACAAUGUUCUUGAG